UUUGGUUGUAAGUCUGAAAACAUUAAUUAAUCAUUUGUAUAUUUUUCUAAAUCCAAGAUAUAAAGUCUUUUAUGUAUUUUGUUUUCUAGAGCUAAAAAAAAUAAAAAAAAUUGGUAGCUUUGAAAACAAAUCUGAUUUUGGUUAGCAAAAAAAUUUCUGUUGUGAUAUUACGCUAGAUUUAGUAAUACAGUUCGAGUUAGGAUGAUUGCUUUUUGUUUGUUUCAUCGUUGAAUGCUACUCUCUUCUUUGUCGGCAAUAUAUUGUAUUAGAUGCAAAGAUAUGUUACAAAGUGUUCUAAGAUACACCAUAUCUUAAAAUUUGUUUCCUUAACAAAAUAGCAAGAUCGUCAAUUUCAGAAACAAUGAUUCGGAGUGCAUUACUAUUGUCCUGGAUGCUGAUUGGCUCCAACCAAAUAGCAUUUUACUUCUAGAAAGGUAUUAAGCUCACUGAAGAGGACCCAAUUGUCACCAACAAACACAACUUCAUCAGAAACCAGUCUAUUACUUCUUUGACAACUUCAACUUCCAAAGAUCAAUAUUUGUACUUGCUUUAAUGACUUGUAGUCCUUCCUAUAUGGUGCACAUCCUAUGCCUGCUAGGUCUUUUGGUGAAGACCAUGAUGCAUCUACAAUAUAUACAGUCUUACUUGUUUGUAAUCUUAAGAAGAAUUACCGUUGAUAUUUGUAUAUUGAAUUUGAUGUCGUUCCUCCCAUGUUUUGGCUUUAUCUCAAUCCCAUAGUUUUCGUUGAUAAUAGAGUUAUUAAUCACUUGUGAGAUGAAUUAUAUAUGAUUUGGGAAGAUUAAUUAAUAUACUCCUUAUUUUCCAAAUUUGCCAUUUAGUAAACAAGGCCAAGUCAUCAAUCAAAGGCGACUGAGGAGGAAGUAACUGAUAGUAACCAGCUCAAAUAUUGAGAAUAAUCACCCAACUUGGUUGGUUUUCGAGUGGUGCCAGUUCCAUACUUAUUUCGCAAUCCAUUGGAAUACUAGAUGAUUGAGUGAUUCAAGUGCUUCCCCACAUAGCUGACGAUGAUGAUGAUUAUAACUUAACAUCCCCUUUUGAGUUUUUAUCUGUUACUGGCAAGGUAUUAUAUAAACAACUCUCGACAUGAGCAACAGAUUCUGUCUUGAUGAUUUUUCGAGGUGGGAGAAAUCGAGAAGUAUAUUCCACUCAUCUCGAUUUUUAUUCCACAGUAAUUAAAUGAGUAUCACUAUUGCAAAUUUAAGUAAAAGAACCCGAGGGAAGUGUGCACUUUCUACCGCUUAGAUCGUUUUCGUGUAUAUACCAUCAUUAGUUAGUUAAUCAAUUCUAUAACAUUUUCAUACUCUUCUUUUUUAUCAUGUGCUUUUCUUUAUUGAAAUGGAAUUAUAAUUGGCAUGUUACCCUAACUUGAUCAUAGGUAAUCGAGUUUAAGACCAAACAAAAAUUAGAGAAAGUGAGACAAAAUGUCACUAGAAGCUUUUUUAAGAAAAUGAGAAGGAAUGUAAUAAGUGAGAAUAAACCUUCCUGAUUCCUACCAAGUUUUUUUGGACAACAUUUUGGUAGAAAGAUCAACUUUUCAUUUUUAGAUUGACGGAAAUGAGACACAAUAUGAUUAGAAGCUUUAAAAUAAUUUGGAAUGUGCUGUGGAAGUGAGAAUAAACUUUAUGAUUCCUACCAAUUUUUAUAAACAACAUAUACACUUGGUUUAAGGAUAAACUUUCAUAUUUCUUUAACCUGGUAUAAACUUGGAAGAGUUAUUAUCCGGUACGAGCAACUUAAUGAAAAACAAAUUAAAGUAAUAUUUAAAUAUAUUGAUAUUAGGUCAUUCAUUUUAUCAUGAUUGAUUUAUUUUAAUUGACGUCCGUAAAAAGUUUUUGGUGAUUUAUCAUUAGAGACCUUAGUGCUCGAACUGGUGGUUGAAAUUUUGAAAAACAGGUGGGAUUAAACUUCAGUUUUUUUUUAAAAAUUAGUUUAUGUUGAAUCUGAGGAAUACCUAGCGUCAGGAUUGUGUAUCCCAUAUGAAUUAUUUGAAAUAAUCAUAAUUUUUAAAUAACAACUGAUAAUUACGUGUGUCAAAAAAAAUAUAUCAUGAUUAGACCAUGAUGUUGAAUAUAUACUUGAAUUACUUGUUGUACAGUUUCUUUUUUCACUUCUACUUGUUGCAUAUACCACUCGGCGCAUCACACAUCAAGUACCAAAAUAGAUUUGUUGUUUGGAUGCUUGUUGUCCCAUUAUGUUAAUACUUUUCCUGGCUUUUCUUCUUCUUCGUAUUAAUGCAAGUUUGCUAAAUAAACCCAUCGUAGUUAUAAUAUUCAAAUACUAUAGGGUUUACAAUAAUGAUGUCUAAUGUAUGCUUUCUUUUGAUGGGACCUUGCUUGCACUGGCCGUCAGAGGAGAGAAAUUAACCAGGUCAAAACUAGUGACCAAAUAAAAUUAGGUCAAAAUUAAGAUCGAGAUGAUUGAAGCAGGUACGAGAGGGAAGAAAGGUCGAAAGAUAAUGAAACUGGUAUAUUAUCAAGAAUAUGCAUGUCCACUUAUAAAUUUUUGAAAAUAAAAAUAACAUUAACCAAUCAAAAGUCAAAACUAACAACUUGGACAUUCCAUUGUUUUACAAAAGAGCUAUCUACCAUUGGAUAUAUCAAUGGACUAAUAAUGUUCAAGUUAUCUUCGCAUAUGUUCAAGAUCUCGCUUUUGAAUUUAAAGGCUACCAAAAGUGGGAUGUGCCUAAGGGUGGACACUAACAAGCUCACGAAUCUAAUGCGUUCACUGUGGCUGUAGCAGUACAGACUGGACGCUCGCAGCAAACUAUAUUUUAUCACCAUUUAACAUUUGCUGUCAACGGUUAAUUUAUAAAGUAAAUGGUUAUAAAAUGUGAAAUGUGCAUAAGCAUGCUUGUUAUCUCAGUUUAUCGUGUAAUACUUGUUAUUCAGCAUCUUCACUCAACAUAUGUUAUUAAUUGCUUCAAUUAUAUUUUUUUUGGUUAUAAAUGGAAGAUUUUAUAGCCAGAAAAAGUGCAAAACCCACUAGUUAUUAGAGUAGCAAAUGUUUUUAUCAUAGUUAACACGUCUAUAACUAAACAUAAUUGGGUAGUCAAUGGUAGAGAAACCCAAAUUUUCAUCUUGAUCCAUAGAGUGAAAAUCACUUCUAGUUAAUUCUAGUUGUUCCAAUGUAAUUCUACUUCUUCUGUUCUCCCCCACGAUGUUUUGUCUCAUCUGGUGCAUCCUUGAUUCCUGAUUUCACUAUGCGGGCCAUUAGUCAACAAAUGUAUGUUUUUUGUUGUUACAAUAGGUUAACUUAAUAUAUGUAUAACAUGUAAGAUAAUCUCGUCAGUAUAAUGUAUAUAGAAGCAGCAUAAUUUACGCAUGCAUGUUUAUUAAUGUAUUACGGAGGACUUUUAUCUCCAUUUUCGUUGCCAUCAUUAUACAAGUCAACAUCGGCCAACCGUAUGACUAGAAUUUUCAAACUAGGCAAUAUACCGUCUUCGUUCAUUGAUGUUUUUUUUUUGACUGAAAAAAAUACCGUUCAUUGAUGUUUAGGUUAAGUAUAUUCAAAUAAAAUUCAUCACAUGCAGAUGAUGUUAUAAACGUGUGCAAUUAAUGUGAUUCCACAUCACUAAUUUUAAACAUUUAAUAUAAGGCAACGUCUGAAGAUACUCUAAUAAAAUAGUUGAUACCAUUCUAAUGUAAUACUCCAUUUGUUCCUUAAUAUUACAUAUUCUAGGAAAAAAAUUUGUUUAAAAAAAUCUAUUUUUUAUAUUUCUAAGACAUGUUUUAUUAACUAAUUGUAAAUUUCAAAAAAACUUAAUUGCACUUAUUGAAUUGUUAUUGGUUUAAAAUUAUGAAACAAAGAUAAACACAAAAAAAUAUGCAAAUUUAAUGUGUUUUAUUAAAAUGUGUGAAAAAUCUAGAAUAUGUAACAUUAAAAAACAGAAGGAGUAUGUUUUAAGAAAUGUUGAUGUUCCGAUAUAUAAAUUGUUUCUAUAUUUUUAGAUAAAUUAUAAAUUUAUCAAAAAUUAUGUGAUCAAUCAUAUUUUAUAAUUUAUUUUGUAAUUAGUUGAAUAGUAUUUAUUUAUAGAUUUUAUUAUAUUUUAAUACAAUUUUUUUUCUUGAUAUGUGUGUUCUACUUAAAAUAUUUUAUGUUUUAAAUGGAGAGAGUGUACUCUUUCCGUUUCAAAUAUGUGUAUUUUAGAAUUUUGAUACAUAUUAAAAAUAUAUUAAUUUUGACUUUUAAUACAUUUUUUCUAAUUAACUAUUUUCCGCAACUCGUAAACAAUACUCCCUCCAUUCCUAAUUAUAAGAUUUUUUAGAUAAAACAUGAUUAAGAAAAUUAUUUUUUAUCUAAAAGGUACUAUUAAAAUUAUAAAUUAAUAACUACUCAACCAAUUACAAAAUAUAAUUAUUAAAUUUGAUUGAUUAUACAGUUUUUGAUAAAGUUAAAGUUAGCUAGAAAUAUGAGAACAUCUUACAUAUUAGAACAUAAAAAUUCUUCUAAACAUCUCAUAUUUCGGUACGGAGAGAGAAUAAUUUAUUAAACACAAUUAUGUUUUAUAAAAUUUAUAAUUUACUAUUAAGUAAUACAUAAAAUGUAUAUGUUGAAGAAAAAAAAUUAUAAAGCGUGGAUGUUUGAAAUGGAGGUAGUAUUGUUUUGUUCCAUUUUAACGUUCCUUGUGUUUAGAACACCUAACAUUAGUAACAGAGAUAUUUUCAGAAUACCUUUCCGUUAUUCUUUAUCAAUUGAUGAUGUGAGUUGGAAACUCAUGAUUUUUAAGACUUGUAAGUGAUAUAGUAGUUACAAAAAUCAAGCUAGGUUAUACAAUUUCAAUAAUUUUGUAAUGUAGUUUCUAGAUCGAUUCUUGAACAUGAACUUGCUCAGGCCCGGACAGAGAAAGCACAAAUAAAUUUUUGUCUCAGCGUAUCCAAAAUUUAACUGUAUUCAUACAUAACAUAUGCUUUUUUACAAUAUUUACAAUAGUUGCAUAUAUAUAUAUAUAUUAUUUAACAUCUUUUGUAUAUUGGAAUUUUUAUUAUUUUAAUUUAAGGAAAACAUAUAUUGAUGAUUUUGCAUUUGGUAUUUAAUUAUGAGCAUGCUGGAGCAUCAAUCUAUCCGUUUCCACCUGAAGGAAAUUAUUUUAAAGCCACUGAACAAUUAGUAAAAUUAUAUGUUUUAUAUAAUAUAUAUCUCCAUAGCCUACAUCUAUUUACAAUGCGUGCAUACGAUAGAGAUUCGUGAGAAUACAAUACUGAAUAAACAUAUUCAGAGUAACAUAGUAACUAACGUUUUAGUGGAAAAGGGAACAAGUGGACAAUGAUUUAUAUACUUCACUAAACUAAUUAAAUUACGAAAAACUAAUUAAAUUACGAAAACUAAAAAUAAAGGGAAAAAGAACAGAGAGAGAGAUAAUAUAUUUUUUUCCAAUAAUUUCUGAAAGAAGAAAUAAAUAAAUACAAAAAGCAAGAAGAAUCUAACUAAGAAAUAAAGAAAAAAAAAAUCUGCAACAAGUAAAUGGAAUAUAAUGGCGCCUCUACCUCUCGCCGCGUAACAAGAGAGGUCGCGUCCUCAUGCUCACUCCUGGAGAUUCUUCUUGGCCUUCUUUCUUUCCACCUUGGCCUUUUGCAUGUUGCAUUUUAUAUACAAUUAAGGUUUCCAUUAUAUGCGGUUUCUAUUAUAGUUUGAUACAAACAAAUUGAUCAAAAGAUAUCGUAAAUGAUAGGUAUUUGAUAAAUUUAGUCUAUAUGCACUACAAGAGAACAUACCAUAUUCCGAUAAAAAUUUCCUACAAAAUGCAUUGUCAGAAAAUUACCGACCAUGUACUGAGAAAAUGGCGAGGAAGAACAAAAAAAUCGUAGAAGCAGGGCGGCCCUGGACAUGAAAUAUCUUGGUUUAUAUUUUUCAACGUUUAAAAAGCCUAAAAUUGUUUAGCUCUUUCAAAUAUUUCGUAACUUGUUGAGCAUAUAAAUCAAUACUCAAAUACAACUUUAAAAGAAAAACAGCUCAAAUAUAAAGACAUGAAAUGGUAAUUCGAUAUAUCUUAUUUCAGCGUUAAGAUAUGCUAUUGUGGGAUCUGUUUUCUUAUUAUUAUUUUUUUAGAAAUUAGGGGAAGGAUUAGUCAUUUGUGGGAUGGAGAUUUAAAGCAACACUUUUCGAUACAUGAAUAUAUGCAUUUCUUUUUCUUUGUUUAGUCUAAGUUCUCAUUUUCUCAUUACUAAUUUAGUUAAUAUCAUUUUAGAGUUGUAAUGUGUCACGUCUUUGUUAGAAGUAGCGUAUUCCCCUUUUCUUGUAUUUAGCUUACAUUCAACUAUAAUAUGAUAUCAAAAGAAUAUAUGUAAGAUUCAUUAGCAUAUGUCAAACUUGUUGUCACUAAACUAAUAGUAAAUCAGUAUUAACUACCGUGUCAUUAGGAAAAUUAUCUGUUAAAUGAGCACUAUAAAGAUAAAUAACCACACAUUCAUGAGACAUAUAAUACUCAGAGGCGCAAAAGGUGUUUAUGAAUAUGGUGUUACGUGAAUCGCCUAAGUUCACGUCGACGGAUAAUGAUCAAAAUUAACUGAAUCGAAUCUGAUUCUUUUAACCAAAAAUAAGUAAAUCACAUAAGAAAAGGGAAGAUACUGAUGAUAACUAAAGUGUAUAUCGGCUUUAGCAACAUAUAUAAUAGAGAAAAAAACAUAUAUAAUAGAUAUAAAAAAAUCUUACAAAAGCGGAUGGAGCUCUCACAGACACAGUGGUAUAUAUACCACUUAGUAUUUAUUUAUGUUGAUAUAUGUACAGACUGAGACUAACAAAUCAUGCCCGUCUUUUAGUUUGAAAUAUACGUUUUUUGUAACUUGAAAGAUAAGUUUUCUUGGAGUAUAGAUAUAUUUCUAUUGUAAGACUAUAUGGAUGUCUGUUCUAAAGUAGGUUUGCUUUUGAUUUUCUUGUUUAUCUAGUAAAAUUUGUUUUCUGUACCGAUUUAUUUAUUAACUGUGAAAAUUCCAGACUUUAAAUCUACAAUUUUUCACAUGUUUGAAGUUAGUUUAGCAAAAAAUCCGACUUAAAGAAUAGCAUUUCGUGCCACAAAUGUUUUAAAUUCGAGAUAUAAGAAAACCGAUCCUUUGGAGAUACCCAUAUAAAAAAUUGCUAUCAAUGUUUUUUGUGAGAACUAUUGCGAUCAAUGUUGGGUACGUAGAAAGCAUUAUAGGUAAAAAAGUAGGAACAACCCGAUCAUUAUUUUAUUGAGUAAUUGGUAAGAUUGCCCCGGCAACUAAUUUGCAAAAUACACUUUUUUCGAAACUAUUUUUUUCGGACCCUUUUACCCCUCAACAGAGCGCGAGUCCAAAGGCAAUAGAUCUGCGUCGCGUGUGUUGUGUGUCAGAGACCCCCUUUCAACCCAUUGGAUAAUAUUGUGGCUCACGCCUGUUCAGGUUCUGCAGACGAAAGUGUGUGAAUCUUCUCUAUCAUUUUCGAACUUCCAACAGUCGCAUUCAUUCACAUUUCCUCAACUACUAAUUCCCCUUUUUCAAACCGAGAUCCAUCAAUUCAUUCAUUCACCGCAAUAAACCCUAAUUUUUCAAUUUGGGAUUAAUUCUGUCUCCGACAAACUACCUGAGAUGGAAGAAGAACUACUACCGCCAAGGAUGUUCGCCGCGGGUGAUGAACCCCUUGGAGAGCGAGUCAACUCGUAUCACAAGUUGAAAAGGACUGAGAUGCUCAUUGACGCUUUAGAACCUGAAGAGUUGGCUUUUCUACGUAAAUCAACUUUCGGGAAGGUUCUUGCCAUCGAAGAGAAUCCGCCGUUCUCCGGUGCUUUUGGGCAACAUGUUGUUGUUAGGCUGCUCAAAGUGAACAAAAAGUACGAGGUUUGUAUUCUAUUUGCUGGAAAUCCUGUCAGGAUGUCACUCCGCGAGUUCGCAAUUGUCACGGGGCUGAACUGUCAGAAGAUCCCAGAACCCACGAAGAGGAAGAAGAAUCCUUUGAAAGUGAAGCUUUACUGGAACGAACUGUUUGGCUCUUUGAAGUUCUGUUCCGUCAACAUUGCUAUAGACAUGCUGAAGAAGAAGGUUGUUAAAGGUACUGAAGCCAGGAUCAAGUUUGCGUGCCUUGCAAUCACAUAGUCGAUUCUGUUUCCUUCUUCACACGCACCGCGCAUCAUGCCAGACCAUGUUGAGAUGAUACGAGAUUUAGAUGAGUUUCUCGCUUUCCCCUGGGGGCGAGCUUCUUUCCACACUCUUGUUACCUCCCUGAUCUCGAAGGACGAAAUCGCAUUAUCGCAAGCUUCCGUUGCGAUCCGCGGCUACGUCGAUGCUAUUCAGAUGGUUCUAUUGGCUGCAAUUCCAGAACUCAAAGAAGAGAUCACACAGUCGGAGCCAAUUGUCAUCGAGGAUUCAGAGAGCAAUGAUGAGUCGACUUUGGAACAUGCACCGCCGGAAGAAGAAAAAGCGCUGCAUUCAGAGAAACCAUCUCAGACGACCAAAUACUGUCUCAUUCCGGGGCACGCGAAGAGCGUAGAUACCGAUUGCCAGGUAGCAAAGAACACUCAACUUAUUUAGUAGAUGUUAUAAUUCUCGUUAUCAAUUAAUUUCAUUUCUUAACUGGCAUUGUAAGCAUUACUCGUUACGGUAAAAGUUAAAUACUAACUUAUGACCAGUCAGUUAACAUCACUUAAAAUCAAUUCACUUGUUAAGUCACCAAGCAUCGCGUUAACCCCUUAAUUAACGGAUACAACGGUUCUAACCAUAUCUAUAUUUUACUAAAUCCAGGUGCGUGUGAAGUGCAUUCUAGAUGAACCGUACGAAGAUUGGUCAGCUGGACUAGACUUCCUGUGGCCUGAUGAGUACGACGACCCUGCUGUUGAUAACAUGGUCCGCCUGAUUAACGAGGGUUUUGCUUUCCGAAAGGAAAUGUUCAAGGGGGGUGUCUCCGCAACUGAUCUUGCACGUAUGAGGGCAGAGAAGAAACUGAAGGAGAAAGAACCAAAAGAAAAAUACGAUAAGGACCACUACCCGGAGGCUCAAGACUGUGAUGGUUCGGACUCUCAAACCCACAUUUUAAUAGCUAAUAUGGUUGCCUCACAGCUUGGUGAGAAGAUUAGGUCCCCACCCACUGAUGUACGAGUUGAGAUCAGCUCUCUGGAGAAGCGUAUAUAUGAAGCACUUGACGCUAAAUUAGAGAAAAUUGUGGCGUCUACCAUUCAAUCCCAGCACGUAGCUUUCAUCCAGAACACCAUCUCACAAUAUCUCCAAGGUAUUGAUAAGAAGGUCGCUGACACUCUUGCUUGCCAACUGAAGACGAUGGAAGCUUCACUUCUCAAGGUUUUGUCUCAAGCAAUUGGUCAGCCCUGCUCCAGCCAUGAUGCUCCAGGGGGGGGAAACCUUUUAUGAAGAGUCAAACUAGCAUCCACAGUUGUCAGAGAACGUGGUUCCUCAUGUCAACCCAAGCAUUCCAGCAGAGCCUGACAAUAUCACCCCCGCAGAAACUGCUGAUUUUCGCAUAAACGCCGUUCUCCGCGACCUGAACACUGUUCCUGACUUGUCGACUCACGAAACUUCAGACGUUAACUUUCGGAGUGUACCAUUAGAGGGGAAAUUGUCGGACAAUAAAGAUAAUCAAGUUGCUGAACCGGUAAGGAUCGCGUUUACCGCUAACUUAGUCUCGUUACUUAAGUAAAAUUAGUUUUGGAAUUUCCAGAGGUCCUUGUUUUAAUACUCAUUGUCUAGGACACCGUUAUACCUCCAAAGACCGUCUACUCAGAACUCCCGUCCCAAAAGUUAGUCCAUGCUGCGGGGGACAUUACUCUAUCCGAAGAGCCAGAAAUAACAACCUACACGAACGCAGAUCAGGUAAGUACAUAAUGUAACGAAUAAACUAAUCGUUGUUGUCUAACAUACGUUUCGACUUUUCACAGUCUGAGGAACCCGUUGAGGCUAACCAAAAUUCUGAGAAGGUAAUUCAAUUAUCUUCUCCCAGCGAUCUUUUUUGACGUCGUAUAUGACUGCUUACACUCCCUUUGUACUUAGGAAAUCGAUCACUCACUGGACGCUCAACCUAUGGAUGUCGAUGAGCCUGUGGCUCAAGAAGUUGAGAUUGAAGAGGUAAUCCUCUUUCUCUGCCAGUAUCUUUCAAAGCCAUUUACAACUCAAUGUUCUCCCCCUUUUCAUUCCCACUGACCCUAUAAGUAUUGUGACACCUAAUCAGACGCACAUUCCUUUUUAUCUACUCGAAAUACCGUCUUUCUCACUCGGGCUCUCGCAGGAGGGUGCUGGGGGCGUCGAGGAGAUGCCCCACACCGCUACGGACGCUUCACCACCUCGGGGUCAGGAGCUAGAUGUGAUUGAGCAGCGCAAGAGCAAAAGGCCUAGGUCAAGACCAGCUGUGCUCCAAGACUACAAGUGCGAUCCUAAAGUAUCUUCCGGUUUAUGCAUCAUCCCCGAUCUAGACCACCGAUUCAAGCGUAUGGAGGGGACGCUGCAAACGGAAGCGUAAGCAUGACGAAAACAUAGUUAUUACUGUUACAGGUUUUUUUAACAGCACAAUCAUCUCAUUAACCGCUACCGUUUAUUUUACGGGGGUAAAAAUAUUCUUAAUGACCUCUCCCUCACUCCCGCCGAGUUUUGUGGUAUUGGAUAUCGCAUGAACAUUUUACCUAGGGGGGUAAGUCUCUCUCCUAAAUCCCAAUAGUAUCUCUCAUCUAUACUAACUGGUUUAUUUUGCUAUAGGUCGUGGAUGUCCUUGUCGGAUACUUGUCUCGAGCCCUAGCGUCUGUUUCAACCGUGGCAAUUUACGACACCACCCUUCCUGUAGCUUUAAUGAACCAGACUACUCGCUUCAACAAGACCGCAGUUAAAGAUCGUGCGAAGCUGAAGUUCACGACAGUCCCGCUCCCAAAACCCUUGGUGAAAUCUCCCGAUAGGAUUUAUUUCCCAUUCAACCUUGACAAGCAACACUGGGUUGGAGUUUGCAUUGAUAUGAAAGCAUGGACUCUCUUGGUGCUGGACUGCAACACAACCUUUCGAAGUGACAGCUUACUUAAGAAAGAGCUCAACCCUAUUGCUACCCUCAUCCCAUACGUUCUUAAGUACGCUGGCUAUAUGGAAACCAUCCCCUAUGGGAAGGCCUUUACCGUAUCGCGGUGCAAGGGAAUACCGCAAAUCACUUCUCAGUCGGAUGCAGGGGUCAUGGCUGUGCUAUUGAUAGAAGCUCACGCGGCGGAGGGUUUGGGUGGUUGCAAGUCUAUCACUCCGCGUCUGCUUCCUGAGGCAUCCAAGCAAUUGGUCGUUAAACUAUUCGAGUCCAUCUAUAUGUAACCUUGUCUUUCGCUCUUAAAUCCUGCAACUCUGUAUUUUGUUUUGGAACUUUUUUCUCUGUUCGCCUACAAAACAUUGUAAGGUUAAAACAAUUAUGUUAACUCGGUAACACUACAGUUUUUAUCUUUAUACAUGCUCAUCACUUUUAGGGUCCACAUCCCCACUUAGCCGUAAACUAAGUGGUUAGUGUCUAACUAAACAGUUACCAAUCCGUUAACAUCUAACGCAACAGUUAGUAUCUCCCUUUAAGCUCGCUACUCUUUGUUUCUAUAUCCCCCCCAAUUAGCUGUUAACUUCUUUAUUAACAUAUAACGUAUCAGGUGCCAAUCCAAACUUAUAUAACAUGUCAAUUCUGUCUUGCUCCCAUUUCUUUGGGGUAAUCUAAAACUAUCUGGACCGGCUGUCUAUUGGGAAUAUUACGCACAUUUCGAAAAUAAUUAUGUUAACUCGGUAACACCACAGUUAUUUCCUGGUGUAUACACACUUAGCCACUAACUCCGUGCUUAACACCUAACGUAACAGUAUACAAUCCAACAUUCUAUAGCAUGUCAUUGCUCCCAAUUCGUUGGUUUUAUACAAAACUAGCAUGUGUGAUAUUUUUGAUUUAGACAUUCUAUAACAUGUCAUUGCUCCCAUUCUCUGUUCGCCUACAAAACAUUGCAAGGCUAAAACAAUUAUGUUAACUCGGUAACACUACAGUUAUUAUCUCUAUACAGGCUCGCCAUUUUUGCGGUCUACAUCCCCACUUAGCCGUAAACUAAGUGGUUAAUGUCUAACGAAACAAUUACCACUUAGUUUACAUCUAACGCAACAGUUAUUAUCUCCCUUUAAGCUUGCUACUUUUGGUGUCUAUACCCCACCAAUUAGCUCUUAACUUCGUUAUUAACAUAUAACGUAUCAGGUCCCAAUCCAAACUUAUAUAACAUGUCAGUCCAAUCCAACAUUCUGUAACAUGUAUACACUUAGCCGCUAACUCCGUGCUUAACACCUAACAUAACAGUAUACAAUCCAACAUUCUAUAACAUGUCAUUGCUCCCAUUUCGUUGGUUUUAUACAAAACUAGCACGUGUGAUAUUUUUGAUUUAUACUCUUAUAAUUCAACUAGCUUAUGUGAUAUCUGUCCUGCUCCCAUCUAACUGGUCAUAUUUCCAACUCAAAGGUGAACACCUAAGAUACUCGUUUUCUUAAUAAUGUUCGACUUACCAUACUAACAUUCUUUGCAGCGUUCAAACGCAAUAAGUUUGUGGCGAACGCAUUUAAAAAAUAACCAUAACAUAAAAUGGGGGAGUCUUUAUUCAUACCCUCCAUUGCACUUACAUAUGUGUCAAUGGGGAAAGCUUAGGGAAACUUAGUUUAAUACAUCAUAUCAAAAGAAGGUCGCCCCAGAUCUGACCAUUACAAAAGAUACACAACCACUCCACUCACCCCUACAUACUUAGUCUUCGUCUUUUCCCUCAGAUAGGCAUCUUACACGUGACCUUGUUAUGGUCCGUCCCUCCACACCUGCUGCAGGCCCUGCGGCGCUUGAAAGCACCACUAACCUGCAAGUAGACAAUAGUUACAGCGUUAUCUUUUUAUUUGCACCCUAACAUUACACGUAACUGAUAACAUUAUAACGAACAUAUUUUAGAUUCCAACCUUGAACUCCCCACGAGAUGCAAAUCUUGCCUUCCUUGGCCUACCAGGGGGGCGGCGAGUUGCUGGAGGAAGGAGGUGGCCAUCUUCCCCGUCCACACCAAACUUGUACACCGCAAUGUUGGCUUGCUCCACCGGCUUGAUGCUCCCACUGUAUGCUGACGCCUAGUACGCGUUGCUGUAUAACACAUCAACUCUAUUCUCAACUGGCUCCUUUCCGUACACAGAAGCAGACACGGCAUGCGCACAAGGUAUCGCCAGCGCAUCAAACUGCUUGCAAGAACAAGUUUUAUUAUCUAGAUCCACACGGUAAUACAUCCCCUGUCCAUCAACCACCUCGUACUCAUUGUCGAUGAUGUGUUUGACCGCAUAUCCCGUUGACUCGGUGAAGUUCUUCAUCAAAAUCUCAGCAGCUUUCGGAGUUAGUGCACCUACGUUUUUUGCGGCUGCAUCGCGCCUCGCGGAGAACCAUCCCAUCAUCAUUGAUCUAAUAUACUCCAGCAAAGGAACGAUAGGGUACUCCCUAGCCUCAGAUAGUGCGGCGUUUAGGGAUUCGGCGAGGUUACUUGUCAUUAUGUUGUAUCUUGUCCCUUCGAAAUGGGACCUCGCCCAAUGCUCAAGCCCAAUCCGGAUUAGAUAAUCCGCACAAGCCAUGUCGAUCUGCUUGAUCUCGUUGAAGUGCAAGUAGAAAUCUUCCAGUUUGUACGUCCUGGCAGCUUUACCAAUCAGGUACAACAAAUGUUUCUUCUUGAAGAUGGUCUGCACGUUUCUUUGUAGAUGCAACAAGCAUGCACAGUGCUUAGAAGCGGGAUAGACCUGUUACCGAACACAACAUAAGUUAGCCGCUAUGAGAAUGAAUAACUAAUAAAAGCCACUACACCGCCGUGUGUUAACUACUAACAAUCCAGAUAACAACUAAUAUAUUCAGUUUAAGAUUAUCUCAAUACCCAAGAAUCAUAUUCAGGUGCUUACCCUGCGUAUUCCAGAGUAGAUAGCAGUGUGCCUGUCAGAGACAAAGACUAGGUUUUCAGCAUCAGGCACCACAGCAGUGAGUUUGUGGAAGAACCACGUCCAUGAUGCAUCAUUCUCGCUGUCAACUAUCCCAAAUGCAAUCGGGAAUAUCUGAUAGUUCCCAUCCUGCGCACUUGCUGUGAGCAAACAACCCGCAAACUUCCCCUUCAAGUGAGUCCCAUCGAUGAUGAUCACCUUUCUCAUGAAACUUAACCCCUUAAUGCUUGCCCCAAAUGACAGGAAUAGAUAUUUAAAACGCUGGACACUUCCAGGUCCUUUGUUUGUCUCCAAUGCAACCGUUGUCCCAGGAUUCGCAAUGGCUAGAUGCUGCAGGUAUGAAGGCAAUGUACUAUAUGACUCCUCCGCAUUGCCACGCCAAUUCUCUAUGGCAAUCUCCCUGGACUUCCAAGCAGUCCAGUACGAUAUCGGGACACUAUGGUCCGUUCUCAUCAUAUCCCUCAAUGCUGCUGGUCUUGGUCCACUCCCCGUGCCAACGUACUUGCUUCUCAUAAUACCUCCCACAACUGACGCGGUUGCGUGUCUCUUGAACUCGCCCCUCUCGUCAACAGUGCACUGGUGGGCACUUUCCAAUGUUUUGAUUUCAAAUCUAGCGCACCCAGACAUCUUAGCAGCGUACACUCACCAUUGACAGUUAACGCCACUGCAUUCCAGCACAACUUUGCCCGGUUCGGAUUUUCUAACAAAGUAUCGGUACUUGUUAGCCAGUGCAUGGAGUGACAUGUGGACCUUGAAAGCAUCCCUGUCGACGAAGACUUGUCCCACGUAGAGAUUGUCAUACUUUGCCAUUUCCUCAUCGCCUGAUUUCAACAUAUCAGCAUAAAGUUAGGCCAUAUAUAAUAACGUAACAUCUAAUAUACAUGUUAACAGAUAAAGGAUUUGGUAACUGCUAUGAUAGAUAUGAUUUCUCCUUACCUUCGUCACCCGCAUUGACAUCAUGGCCGGUAUAAGCCCCCUCAGGGUUUGGAUAAGCAUCCUCACUUGCAUCCCCACUCCCUGACCACAUCUGAAGGCUGAACAUUGGCCCUCCACCCAUUCCAGACUCAGUCAUAAUACCCUUGCCCUUGUCAGUAGACCCAGAGGCCACGUCAUUGUUGAUAGCUAAUGAAAAGUUUUACAGUAAAUGAGUUACUUAACGGUACAACCUAAUAGUUAAUCAUUACGUAAACAACGUGCUACCUAUUGCCAGGGUUAGACCAGCCUCUGGUUGUUGUUCAGUAGUCAUCUCUUCAAGUCGGAUCAUACCUUCACCAUCUUGAGUGAAAACUUCCAUUUCAUCCGAUGAAUCACUCUCAGAGGAUACUCCAUCCAUCACCUCUAGUGGAUGCAAUAUCUCUCGCUUUGUCAAACGCACAGCGGUCCUUCGGAUUUCCUCCAUCUGCUCACUGCUGCAGAUGGUCAUCAACCUCUCUUCGCUAACUUGCAGAUAACCUCCCGAGCGAAAACCUCAGCAUACAAGAACAUAGGUUAGCACCUACUAACACACCUUAACAACUAAAAUAACGGGUAUCAAAACAUCUACCUCUCCAUGGGAUGGGUUUCGGUGGAACAACAUCAGUUCCGUCUUCGGUAAGGCCGAACUCCUCCCUCUGAAUUUGGCUGUAACGCGCCACGUCCACGUUGCCAUACGUCACGCACAACAUCAAGUUUGCGAAGUCCAUUCUCACCGCCAUGAAGAGCUCCACAUCUUUGUCAUCUAGUAUGUCAACAGGCGGUGUGGUGUAGUCUCCAGGAACUUUCAUCCACUCAGGGAAGUCAUAAGUUAAAGCAACAGGCUCGGUAUGGUGUAUUUGGUAUUUCCCCCUCACCAUAGCCACCAAUUCCUCGUAAGUCUCAUUCUCCUUCAACACAAGAUCAUAUUUCACAUCGACGUGAUUGAUGUCGAACCUCCAGGUACCAUGGGCAAAUCUUUGCCAGUCGCCAACAACAACUCUCACCAGGUGGCCCAUUGAUGAACUUGUACAAGCUCUGUAGUUGCUGUAAACAAAUACAUAACAUAUAUUGUUAAUCUCAACUCAACCUCAGACCAACUAAAUUAGUUAACAACUAGCCAAAUACGAAGAUACUAGUAUUUUAACAUGAUUACAGAUGACUAAAUAUCUUACAUUUCCCCUAAGAGAGAACGAACACUGUCAAGCGAGUUCCUAACCUUUAAACUCCUAAUCACAGUUUCCGUUUUCACUUAAUCUCCCAUACAAACCUCUCUCCCCUCUGCUAAGUAAAUAUAUUUUUAUCUAUAAAUCCUAGUACCAAUCACGUCAACCAAUACGCAACCACCGUUACACUUACCGAAGCAAUUGUCAUCAUAACCCGUUUUUACCCAGCGGUUCUUCGCCUCCGGCGCCUCUUUGUGUCAGUCACGUCCCUCUGCACACGCGAGCUCAUAAUCCCGCUUUAUCUGUUCCCUGACACACGUGCGUCGUACCACCGAACAAGCGCCACAAUAAGGAAGGGUAAAAUCGUCCAUUUCGUGUUGAAAGGGUACUCAGUUUACCCAUUUCGAAACCCAUGGACAUUUCACAGUUUUGGGCCUCUGUUGGGGAUAUUACGCACAUUCACUCUAUUUUAUUUAGUCAAAAAUUUCAGACUAUAAACUUUUUUGUGAAACUUCAUAAAUUCUUGAAACAUCAACAAGAAAUGAAACGAUGAUGAAAUGAAAGUUAUGAUUCAAACGUCUAAUAAAGGCAUUUAUAAUUUUGUAGGAUUUUAAAAUAGAAAAAACGUAAGAAAUUAAUUAAAAAUUAUGUAUGUAUGUUUAUAAAGAAAUCAACAGUUAGGGUGUUACCUAAACACAGGGUAAGAGAGAUGGGGGUUGUAAACUAUAGCUAUGAUUUCAAUUGCUAAUAAUGUGUUGUUCUACAAUCUAUUUGCGCCACCUUUUUAACCUUUUGUUACAUCUACACACAGAUUAGUAAACGAGGAAGCAGUUUUACCAAGACUUUGUCAUUAGGGGAUAAAUUAACUUUCUCCAUCGUUUAAUGCUUUGUUCAAUGGCUUCUUAAGUAUCCGCAUAGUUUGAGAGGCUUAGGUAGUGAGUGCCCAAUUCAAAUAUUGCUACACCAAAACAUUUGCUAUCUUCUGGUCAAUAAUAGAUCCCACAGAUAUUUGUAUGAAUCUGUAUGUAUUUUAAAAUUAUGGCGACAAUUAAUCUUCAGAUAAUUUUGAAUCAACGUGGAGGCUUUUUAACCAUUUUUUCUUUGUAUAAUAUUUUAUGUUUGAUAUUAUUUAAAUUGAAGCCAUUAAAAGUGGAAGCUCCACCAGUCUUCCCAAAUUCAACUGUCCUCAUCACCCCAAAAAAAUUCAACGUUCAGGAGUCUGUAAGUCUCUUCUUUUUUUAACUUGACACUGACUCGAAACAUUUUUCUUUUCCCAAAUCACGAAUUCGAAAACAAUUGCUUUUUUUUUUCCAAAACAUAGAAAUAAUAAAAUAAUACUCUUUCCGUUUCUAAAUAAAUAUCACUUUGAAAUUUUUCAAUCAGAUUAAAAAAGUGACGGAAAUAUACGUAAAUUGUUAUUAAUUACACUUCCUGACCAAUAGUAUUUGAGAUAAAUAAAAUUAUUUAUAAAACAAUGCAGUUUUCAAUUAAUUUUAAAA